rnacentral:rRNA from 1 species
GGGGGGUGCAAGCGUUGUCCGGAAUUACUGGGCGUAAAGGGCGUGUAGGCGGCUUAUUAAGUCAGAUGUGAAAGCCCACGGCUUAACCGUGGAACUGCAUUUGAAACUGGUAGGCUUGAGUAUGAGAAGGGGUAGUGGAAUUCCCAGUGUAGCGGUGAAAUGCGUAGAUAUUGGGAAGAACACCAGUAGCGAAGGCGACUACCUGGCUCAUUACUGACGCUAAUGCGCGAAAGCGCGGGGAGCAAACAGGAUUAGAUACCCUGGUAGUCCGCGCCGUAAACGAUGGAUACUAGAUGUUGGUUACUUUUUAAGUGAUCAGUGUCGCAGCUAACGCAUUAAGUAUCCCGCCUGGGGAGUACGAUCGCAAGGUUG